rnacentral:tRNA from 1 species
GGAUAUAUACAUAGGGUAUUUAGAUUGAAGCCCCUGCUAAGGGAGUAACGGGGUGACUCGUUCGAGGGUUCGAAUCCCUUCGUCUCCGCCA